UACGUGGGGAGCAAGCGUUGUUCGGAUUUACUGGGCGUAAAGGGCGCGUAGGCGGCCAGCACAAGUCAGUUGUGAAAUCUCCGAGCUUAACUCGGAACGGUCAACUGAUACUGUGCGGCUAGAGUGCAGAAGGGGCAACUGGAAUUCUUGGUGUAGCGGUGAAAUGCGUAGAUAUCAAGAGGAACACCUGCGGCGAAGGCGGGUUGCUGGGCUGACACUGACGCUGAGGCGCGAAAGCUAGGGGAGCGAACGGG
rnacentral:rRNA from 1 species